GCGGGUGUAGUUUAAUGGUAAAAUGAGAGCUUCCCAAGCUCUAGUCGUGGGUUCGAUUCCCAUCAUCCGCU
rnacentral:tRNA from 1 species